rnacentral:ribozyme from 1 species
AUCUCCUUCUUCACUAUUUUCUAAUAUUUCCUUUACUGAUUUCCUCAUGGAUGAAUUUUUUAUGCAGAAAAUACAGGAGUGGAUGGAAGCUUUGAGAGAACAACAGAAUGGAUGAAGAAAUUCGAUUUGGGUGAAUUUAUAAAUUCCAUUUAAUAUAUC